GGAUUUGGAGACAAUGGCUGCAUAGAUGACAUCCGGACCCAAUACGACACGGAGGUGGAUGAGGGGUCCUUGAAUCCUGGCAAGCAGAGAUACGAGAAAAUGACCAGUGGGAUGUACUUGGGGGAGAUUGUGCGGCAGAUCCUGAUCGACCUGACCAAGCAGGGUCUCCUCUUCCGAGGGCAGAUUUCAGAGCGUCUCCGGACCAGGGGCAUCUUUGAAACCAAGUUCCUGUCCCAGAUCGAAAGGUGACCUGUGAUCAAGUUCAUUGUGAGGCUCUGACUGUCAUAUGCUGCCACCACGCUGGGGUUUGGCCAAUUUGAGGUUUAAAAAUAAAAACGGAAAGGCCCUGGCUGGGUAAGGGAUUGCCUCCUGGGGCUGCUCUUCUCUUUCCAACUGAUUCAGGAUCACUUUCAACAAUAAUAAACUCAUGGCCAAACUGGGCUCAUCUAUAAAGUCCUGCUGUCCCCAUCCUCAGGCUGGGCUAAUUUGAAACAAACCCCACAUCUUACAUCAGUUCAUCUAUAAAUAUUUCAUAAUGUAUUUCUGAAAUAUAAGGGUUCUUAAUAAAAUAUAACUACAGUACCAUUA
rnacentral:sRNA from 1 species